rnacentral:rRNA from 1 species
UACGGGGGGGGUAAGCGUUGUUCGGAAUUACUGGGCGUAAGGGCUCGUAGGCGGCCAACUAAGUCGGACGUGAAAUCCCUCAGCUUAACUGGGGAACUGCGUCCGAUACUGGAUGGCUUGGGAUUUGGGAGAGGGAUGCGGAAUUCCAGGUGUAGCGGUGGAAAUGGCGUAGAUAUCUGGAGGAACACCGGUGGCGGAAGGGCGGCAUC